AGUUUGAUACUGGCUCAGGAUGAACGCUGGCGGCGUGCCUAAUACAUGCAAGUCGAGCGGUAAGGCCCUUCGGGGUACACGAGCGGCGGACGGCUGAGUAACACGUAGGAACGUACCCCAAAGUGAGGGAUAAGCACCAGAAAUGGUGUCUAAUACCGCAUGUGCUCUAAGGAGUAAAGCUCCGGCGCUUUGGGAACGGCCUGCGCAUGAUUAGCUAGAUGGUGAGGUAAUGGCUCACCAUGGCGACGAUCAUUAGCUGGUCUGAGAGGAUGAUCAGCCAGACUGGGACUGAGACACGGCCCAGACUCCUACGGGAGGCAGCAGUAGGGAAUUUUCCACAAUGGGCGAAAGCCUGAUGGAGCAACGCCGCGUGCAGGAUGAAUGCCUUCGGGUUGUAAACUGCUUUUAUAUGUGACGAAUAUGACGGUAGCAUAUGAAUAAGGAUCGGCUAACUCCGUGCCAGCAGCCGCGGUCAUACGGAGGAUCCAAGCGUUAUCCGGAAUUACUGGGCGUAAAGAGUUGCGUAGGCGGCAUAGUAAGCAGAUAGUGAAAGCGUGUGGCUCAACCAUACUCACAUUAUCUGAACUGCUAAGCUAGAGGACGAGAGAGGUCACUGGAAUUCCUAGUGUAGGAGUGAAAUCCGUAGAUAUUAGGAGGAACACCAAUGGCGUAGGCAGGUGACUGGCUCGUUCCUGACGCUCAGGCACGAAAGCGUGGGGAGCAAACGGGAUUAGAUACCCCGGUAGUCCACGCCGUAAACGAUGGAUGCUAGCUGUUAGAGGUAUCGACCCCUCUAGUAGCGAAGCUAACGCGUUAAGCAUCCCGCCUG
rnacentral:rRNA from 1 species